AGAGUUUGAUCCUGGCUCAGGACGAACGCUGGCGGCGUGCCUAACACAUGCAAGUCGAGCGAAGAAUUUAUCAUGAAGCCUUCGGGCAGAUUGAUAAACUUCUUAGCGGCGGAUGGGUGAGUAACGCGUGAGGAACCUGCCUUCUACAAGGGGAUAGCCUCGGGAAACCGGGAUUAAUACCCUAUGACACUAAUUCUCUGCAUGGAGAAUAAGUUAAAGCGUUAGCGGUAGAAGAUGGCCUCGCGUCCCAUUAGCUAGUUGGUGAGGUAACAGCUCACCAAGGCAACGAUGGGUAGCCGGCUUGAGAGAGUGACCGGCCACACUGGAACUGAGACACGGUCCAGACUCCUACGGGAGGCAGCAGUGGGGAAUAUUGCACAAUGGAGGGAACUCUGAUGCAGCGACGCCGCGUGAGUGAUGAAGGCCUUCGGGUCGUAAAGCUCUGUCCUAUGGGACGAUAAUGACGGUACCAUAGGAGGAAGCCCCGGCUAACUACGUGCCAGCAGCCGCGGUAAUACGGAGGAUCCAAGCGUUAUCCGGAUUUAUUGGGUUUAAAGGGUGCGUAGGCGGGCCCUUAAGUCAGUGGUGAAAGUUUGCAGCUUAACUGUAAAAUUGCCAUUGAAACUGAGGGUCUUGAGUGUAAAUAAGGUAGGCGGAAUGUGUUGUGUAGCGGUGAAAUGCUUAGAUAUAACACAGAACACCAAUUGCGAAGGCAGCUUACUGGGAUACAACUGACGCUGAGGCACGAAAGCGUGGGGAUCAAACAGGAUUAGAUACCCUGGUAGUCCACGCAGUAAACGAUGAAUACUAGCUGUAUGCGAUAUACUGUAUGUGGUACAGCGAAAGCGUUAAGUAUUCCACCUGGGGAGUACGUUCGCAAGAAUGAAACUCAAAGGAAUUGACGGGGGCCCGCACAAGCGGAGGAACAUGUGGUUUAAUUCGAUGAUACGCGAGGAACCUUACCCGGGCUUGAAAUGCAGACGACCGAUCAGGAAACUGAUCUUCCAGCAAUGGCGUCUGUGUAGGUGCUGCAUGGUUGUCGUCAGCUCGUGCCGUGAGGUGUCGGCUUAAGUGCCAUAACGAGCGCAACCCCUAUCAUUAGUUACUAACAGGUUAAGCUGAGGACUCUAAUGAGACUGCCACCGUAAGGUGUGAGGAAGGUGGGGAUGACGUCAAAUCAGCACGGCCCUUACGUCCGGGGCGACACACGUGUUACAAUGGGGGGUACAGAGGGUUGCUACUUGGUGACAAGAUGCUAAUCUCUUAAAGCCUCUCUCAGUUCGGAUCGGAGUCUGCAACUCGACUCCGUGAAGCUGGAUUCGCUAGUAAUCGCGCAUCAGCCAUGGCGCGGUGAAUACGUUCCCGGGCCUUGUACACACCGCCCGUCAAGCCAUGGAAGCCGAGGGGACCUGAAGUACGUAACCGCAAGGAGCGUCCAAGGGUAAAAUUGGUAACUGGGGCUAAGUCGUAACAAGGUA
rnacentral:rRNA from 1 species